GAACGCUGGCGGCAGGCCUAACACAUGCAAGUCGAACGGUAACAGGAAUUAGCUUGCUAAUUUGCUGACGAGUGGCGGACGGGUGAGUAAUGCUUGGGAAUCUGGCUUAUGGAGGGGGAUAACUACGGGAAACUGUAGCUAAUACCGCGUAAAAUCUUCGGAUUAAAGGGUGGGACUUUCGAGCCACCUGCCAUAAGAUGAGCCCAAGUGGGAUUAGGUAGUUGGUGAGGUAAAGGCUCACCAAGCCGACGAUCUCUAGCUGGUCUGAGAGGAUGACCAGCCACACUGGAACUGAGACACGGUCCAGACUCCUACGGGAGGCAGCAGUGGGGAAUAUUGCACAAUGGGCGAAAGCCUGAUGCAGCCAUGCCGCGUGUGUGAAGAAGGCUCUAGGGUUGUAAAGCACUUUCAGAAGGGAGGAAAGGUUGUAAGUUAAUACCUUGCAACUGUGACGUUACCUUCAGAAGAAGCACCGGCUAACUCCGUGCCAGCAGCCG
rnacentral:rRNA from 1 species